AGACAAGAGUGUAACAUGGCCUUCACUUCUGGGUGCUCUGGAGUGCCUUGACCCUGACCUUGAAGAAGGCUCCUUUUUUUAACCCCGGGCAUUAACGGCUGAGGCUGAGGCCAGACUCCGGAUCUCAACAGGCCUGAUGCUGGCUGUUCAGACAAGGGGCCCCAGGAGUAAGUGCCACUAAGGGAUGUCUCUUGUAAAGGAUUCUCCAAAGGAUCGGUGAAGGGCCCCACCUCCUUCCCCACAAUUUGUUCUGAGUGAGGUGGAGUCCAGGGGGCCCAGAGGCCCUCUCAGCCAGGCUGCUUUACCUAAGUCCCCUGGAAACUCUUCUCCCGGAGUCCCACAGGGUGAGGUUCUAGUCUCCAAGAUACUGACGCUGGGAGAGGAACUAGGCCUGGGAGAAAGAACCCCAGUUUACUAUGACGGCAAGUGCUCUACCAUUGAGCCAUGCCCCAACCCUUCACAAAGGGAUUUUGGACAAGAACUCUACUGCCCCAGCCCCACACUGAGAGAUUCUAGUACAGAAUUUCUCUGUCCUGGAAAUCCCUCUGAAGACCAGGCUAGACUUGAACUCAGAGAUUACCUGCCUCUGCCUCCCAGGUACUGGGGUUAAAGGCCUGUUCCACCAUGCCGGGCUCAUACAGACUUUUUAAUUCCUGCCUUUUAAAAAAAAUGGUAAGUAUGGCAUUUGUACCUAUGUAUAUUUGUGUGUAAGCACACUCACCGAUGUAUAUGGGUUUGGAGGCCAGAGGUCAACAUCACACAUCUUCCUCUGUUAUUUUCCGCCUUAUUAUUGAGAUGGGGCCUCUCACCAAACCCGGAGCUCACCAACUGGCUAGGAAGGUGUGGUUCUCCUCCUGCCUGGGGGCUGUCUCCCCGUAGCCCAUGAAGUCAGGAGGGGCAGGAGAUGAAAAGUGUGCCUGGAAUGGCAGUGAGCAUUCCAGGGAUCACACACUGGCACGGAGCUACUUCAACUUUAAUUCCAGAGAACAAAGGAUAUAUACCCCUGUGGAGUGGGUAGGGGGCUCCAAGGAUAGGUGGACACAACUGGUGGAACUAUACAGUUCAGGGACGCUUGGUUUGCAUUAAACAUGGUCCUUUCAUAUGAACGGGAACACGGUACCUAACUAUGCUGUAGGCACAGGGAGGGCACAGCUAGCAGGGAGCCGUGUCAAAGGCCAGAUACCAAAUGUGGUCAGGGGCGUCUGUGUCUAAAGACACUCUCCAGAUGAAGUCAGGCCGAGAGCAGGAGGCCCUGCUGGGGGGCAGGAGUCCUGCCAAGCUCGGAAUGGCUGUCCGGACUCGAAGAACUGCAACCGCAGACAGCAGGACUGGUUAGCUAGCAAGUCCAGAUCCACCAUCUUUGCCUUCUACCUCCAACUCUGGGGUUACAGGUACACAUCACUAUCGCUGGCUUGUACAUGAGUGUCAAUGCAUUCACACUCAGGUCCUCACACUUGCACAAAAGCACCUUCCCAACUGAGUGAUCUCCCCGGCUCCUUACCCCUGUCUCCAGCUCACAAACCCUACUUCAGUCAAACGUGGGAGGGAGGGAGAAAUGAAGAGAGAGGGGGGGGGCGCUGACACCAAACCACAGUGGUUCCAUGACUGAUUUUCUGGGUUUCCUGGACAAUGGCUUCUCUCCUUGUAGAGUGGGCUAAGGCCCAGCCUCCAUAGUUGUACUGGGGUGAGCAGGAAGGGAUAGCAGUUCUGGUCAGACAGUGCUAGCCAAAGUGGGCAGGGCGGGGAGCCUUCCUUCCUGCCCGUGCCCACAGUCAGUACUUGGCACUCUCUCUGUUAACUCUCAUUCUCCCGGGAGACGCCUGUUUCACCAGGUUCCUUUCUGCAGCAGCUAUCUGAGCAGCAUUAGUGUGGAGACUCAGUUCCACCAGGGGACAUGCUGGCUGUCCUGGCCCACACUGUGUAGUAGGGAAUCUUUUCUCUAUUACAUUUGAAAUUUAAAAUUUUUUAUGUUCAUUGGUGUCUUGCCUGUACAUACACCUGCAUGAAGGUGUCAGAUCCAUGGACCUGGAGCUACAGGCAGUUGUGAGCUCCCAUGUGGGUGCUGGGAAUUGAACCCGGGUCCUCUGGAAGAGCAGCGAGUGCUCCCAACCACUGAGACAUCUCUCCAGCCCCUACAUGUAAUUAUCCCACUCUGUGUAUGGUGCACACAUGGAGGUCAGAGCAACAACUGGUGGAGUCGUUCCUGGACCCUGUGCAGGAUGGGAUCGAACUCCGGUCUUCAAGCUUGGCCGCAAGCACCUUUACGAGCCUCACUUUCCACACUUUCUUCACUUUCGAUUCCCCUGUGACUUUUCCUUCAAGGGCUCCCUCAGGAAAGGGUUUCACUGACCAAAUACACUACCA